ACGAACGCUGGUGGCGUGCUUAACACAUGCAAGUCGAACGGGAUUUAGUAAACAGAAGCCUCGGUGGAAGAUUACUAAUGAGAGUGGCGAACGGGUGAGUAACGCGUGAGCAACCUGCCUAUGACAGUGGGAUAGCCUCGGGAAACCGGGAUUAAUACCGCAUAAAAUCGUAGAAACACAUGUUUUAACGGUCAAAGAUUUAUCGGUCAUAGAUGGGCUCGCGUCUGAUUAGCUAGUUGGUGAGAUAACAGCCCACCAAGGCGACGAUCAGUAGCCGGUCUGAGAGGAUGAACGGCCACAUUGGAACUGAGACACGGUCCAAACUCCUACGGGAGGCAGCAGUGGGGAAUAUUGCACAAUGGGGGAAACCCUGAUGCAGCGACGCCGCGUGAACGAAGAAGGUAUUCGUAUCGUAAAGUUCUGUCCUAUGGGAAGAUAAUGACAGUACCAUAGAAGAAAGCUCCGGCUAAAUACGUG
rnacentral:rRNA from 1 species